AGAGUUUGAUCCUGGCUCAGGAUGAACGCUGGCGGCGUGCUUAACACAUGCAAGUCGAACGAAGCACCUGAGAAUGAUUCUUCGGAUGAAGUCUCUUGUGACUGAGUGGCGGACGGGUGAGUAACGCGUGGGUAACCUGCCUCACACAGGGGGAUAACAGUUGGAAACGACCGCUAAUACCGCAUAACCCGCUGGUGCCGCAUGGCACUGACGGAAAAGAUUUUAUCGGUGUGAGAUGGACCCGCGUCUGAUUAGCCAGUUGGCAGGGUAACGGCCUACCAAAGCGACGAUCAGUAGCCGGCCUGAGAGGGUGAACGGCCACAUUGGGACUGAGACACGGCCCAGACUCCUGCGGGAGGCAGCAGUGGGGAAUAUUGCACAAUGGGGGAAACCCUGAUGCAGCGACGCCGCGUGAGUGAAGAAGUAUUUCGGUAUGUAAAGCUCUAUCAGCAGGGAAGAAAAUGACGGUACCUGAUUAAGAAGCCCCGGCUAACUACGUGCCAGCAGCCGCGGUAAUACGUAGGGGGCAAGCGUUAUCCGGAUUUACUGGGUGUAAAGGGAGCGUAGACGGUGAUGCAAGUCAGAAGUGAAAGCCCGGGGCUCAACUCCGGGACUGCUUUUGAAACUGUGUGACUGGAGUGCAGGAGAGGUAAGCGGAAUUCCUGGUGUAGCGGUGAAAUGCGUAGAUAUCAGGAGGAACACCAGUGGCGAAGGCGGCUUACUGGACUGUAACUGACGUUGAGGCUCGAAAGCGUGGGGAGCAAACAGGAUUAGAUACCCUGGUAGUCCACGCCGUAAACGA
rnacentral:rRNA from 1 species